GUUGUAGGGUCUAAAUCUUACUGGAUCUUUUCCUGAAGAAUUCGUCUGAUUUGCAUGUCAAUAGAGCAGACAAGGGUUCUGUUAACAAGUACUGCUCGUUUCUAUCUAAGGAAAGGUGACUUUUCAAAGUAUACUCGAAAUCUGUCUCAAGCAAGCCAAAAUAUUUACUCUCAGUCCUUGCUGAUUCAGAGCGAAUAUGGUGUCAAAUAUGGACCAUAGUAUUGGCACCAGCAUUCCCUGAUGGACAUUGCUGCUGCAGUUGAGCUGCAUAAGCGGAACUUAUGUUGGGGUCCUGCCUAGUUGCGGAGUUGAAAGUGUAAAGUCUAUUGGUGAAGGAAUUGCAGUGAGCGCCUGGCUUUGCAGAGAACAAGAAAGCAAAUUUGCAGGAUCUUACAACUCUUAGUGAUGGAGUGGUGAGAGGCUCAUCUUAAUGUUUGAUAUUUGAAGUUAUAACUGAAGACCUUGGCAUGAAUACGGAAAAUGAUGCUGUCAUAUCUCCCCAGAUGGGAAAGCGGGUGUUUCAUUAUAGUCCCGAAGUCAGUUUCAAAAUAUCUAUCGCAGUUCACUUCAUUAAAUACAUGAACCCUUGGUUAUUUAAGGUUCUGGCGUUGGAAUGGAGAUUAUUUCUGAGCAAUUCCCUGGAGCUUUUUCUGGAUAUAUAUCUUCAGGUCACAGAUGCAUCUGGGACAGUUAAGGAUGUUAUCUCAUACUUUCAGAAACUUGGAGUAGACUUUGUUAUGGAUCAACUUGGCCCCGAUACAGAAAGAAACAUGAUACACACUCAUCAGAUCUUACUGUUGGUACAAAUCAUAAUCAUGGUGACAGAUUCAAUUCUACUUUCGUGGAUCCGCCUGAAAUGCUUAUGCCUAGCUUAGGACCUUCUAGGUCGGUUAGGGAAAUAAUUCAGGAAGUGAAGAUGGUUCAGGUGUGGGGAAACAUGAUUAGUACAAUAGAAAUUAAAGGCAAAGAACAGCAAAAAUGUGAUGCAAAUGUUUUAACCCGUGCUGACCUCUAUGAAUGGUUGAAAGCAAAGAACAGCGAUGAAGCACCCAUUAUCGUUGUUGGUCUUCAUAGUUAUUCAGCUUUGUAUACUUUCACAUGCUCCAUCCAAGCUGAAUUGUAUCCUUGGCCGAUUUUUGUCUUUGAUAUUUUUCUUGUAGUGAAUCUUAGAUUAUGGAUGCUAGUUUUUCAUAGGAUUGUAAUGUGAUCAAUUUUUAUAUUUGUAAUUAUAUACUAUACUAUUUAAUUUAAUUAUUUAUAUAAUUGGAUACU